CCUGAGAAACCCAAAAGAUCGAAUGGGGAGAUUCAUCGUUUGCUCACAUUGUAUAUACAUGAUUUAUGAUAUGUGGGAUAGAUAUUGAGUGGGUAACCAUUCUUAAUUUAUUGCCUAUACAUUUUUGUGUAUUUAGUUGCAGUGUGUUGUCGACGUGCACUUCUCCCCUAGUAGGACGUCGCGACCCGUUGGGCGUCGGUCUACGGCCCAGGUGGGAGACUUUAAUGUUUAAUUAUAUUAAAGACCCCUGGUGUUCCCUGACCGGCUACCCGGCGGUAUUCGUAUGGUAUUAAGCCGCAUUUAUAUGCGUCCUUGCCCGUCGCAAGCGAGGCCAGUUUCUGGUAGUGCGGACCUAGUGCCGUCGCUGGAGCUGGCCAGCUGUUGGUUGUUACGGUGUUCUAGGACUGGCUGAAAUUUAUUACCGGUCGGCGAUGCUACUGCUUUGGGUACUUUCAGGACCCGUCUUGAAACACGGACCAAGGAGUCUAACAUGUACGCGAGUCAUUGGGAUUUUUUUAAAUUAAACCUAAAGGCGUAAUGAAAGUAAAGGUUGUCCUUGCGUCGACCGAGGGAGGAUGAGUUGUGUUAAGAUACAGCUCCGCACUCCCGGGGCGUCUCAUUCUCAUUGCGAGAAGAGGCGCACCCAG
rnacentral:rRNA from 1 species